rnacentral:tRNA from 1 species
GGCAGUAUGGCUGAUAAAAGCGGUAAACUGUAAAUUUACACAUAGGAGGUCCUUGCUGCCA